AUUUAUUUAGUAUAUUAGUAUAUUUGACUUCCAAUCAAAAGGUCUGAAUUACGUCAGAAUAAAUA
rnacentral:tRNA from 1 species